rnacentral:rRNA from 1 species
CAGUCGCCGCGGGAAUACCGAGGGUGCAAGCGUUAAUCGGAUUUACUGGGCGUAAAGGGCGCGUAGGUGGUUAUUUAAGUGAGGUGUGAAAGCCCCGGGCUUAACCUGGGAACUGCAUCUUAUACCGGGUAACUGGAGUGCAGUAGAGGGUAGUGGAAUUUCCGGUGUAGCGGUGAAAUGCAUAGAUAUCGGAGGAACAUCAGUGGCGAAGGCGGCCAUCUGGGACAACACUGACGCUGAGGCACGAAAGCGUGGGGAGCAAACAGGAUUAGAUACCCCAGUAGUCCCUGUCUCUUAUACA